AUAGGUAUGAAAGCCAACGCAUGCAUGGGCCGUGAACCUUACCAGUUUAAUUGUACGCCUGGAGGCUGUGUUACUGCCUGCAAAAAAUUAGGCUGCGGAACUGGGGUUUGCCAUUUAGAUGGUAGUUGCUAUUGCAGCUAGACGAGGCUGCUCGAUCAGUCCUAGUUGUUGCUCUAAUUUGUAGCAAGAAAAAGACCAAAAA
rnacentral:lncRNA from 1 species